rnacentral:rRNA from 1 species
UACGGGGGGAGCAAGCGUUGUUCGGAUUUACUGGGCGUAAAGGGCGCGUAGGCGGUCGUGACAAGUCACUUGUGAAAUCUCCGGGCUUAACUCGGAACGGUCAAGUGAUACUGUCGGACUAGAGUACAGAAGGGGCAACUGGAAUUCUCGGUGUAGCGGUGAAAUGCGCAGAUAUUGGGAGGAACACCAAUGGCGAAGGCAGCACCCUGGGCCGGUACUGACGCUGAGGAGCGAAAGCGUGGGGAGCAAACAGG